GAUGAACGCUGGCGGCGUGCCUAAUACAUGCAAGUCGAGCGAACAGACGAGGAGCUUGCUCCUCUGACGUUAGCGGCGGACGGGUGAGUAACACGUGGAUAACCUACCUAUAAGACUGGGAUAACUUCGGGAAACCGGAGCUAAUACCGGAUAAUAUAUUGAACCGCAUGGUUCAAUAGUGAAAGACGGUUUUGCUGUCACUUAUAGAUGGAUCCGCGCCGCAUUAGCUAGUUGGUAAGGUAACGGCUUACCAAGGCAACGAUGCGUAGCCGACCUGAGAGGGUGAUCGGCCACACUGGAACUGAGACACGGUCCAGACUCCUACGGGAGGCAGCAGUAGGGAAUCUUCCGCAAUGGGCGAAAGCCUGACUGAGCAACGCCGCGUGAGUGAUGAAGGUCUUCGGAUCGUAAAACUCUGUUAUUAGGGAAGAACAACUGUGUAAGUAACUAUGCACGUCUUGACGGUACCUAAUCAGAAAGCCACGGCUAACUACGUG
rnacentral:rRNA from 1 species